rnacentral:rRNA from 1 species
AGAGUUUGAUCCUGGCUCAGGAUGAACGCUAGCGGCAGGCUUAACACAUGCAAGUCGAGGGGUAUAGGUUUUCGGACCUAGAGACCGGCGCACGGGUGCGUAACGCGUAUGCAAUCUACCUUUUACAGAGGGAUAGCCCAGAGAAAUUUGGAUUAAUACCUCAUAGUAUUAUUGAAUGGCAUCAUUUAAUAAUUAAAGUCACAACGGUAAAAGAUGAGCAUGCGUCCCAUUAGCUAGAUGGUAAGGUAACGGCUUACCAUGGCAACGAUGGGUAGGGGUCCUGAGAGGGAGAUCCCCCACACUGGUACUGAGACACGGACCAGACUCCUACGGGAGGCAGCAGUGAGGAAUAUUGGUCAAUGGGCGCAAGCCUGAACCAGCCAUGCCGCGUGCAGGAUGAAGCAUCUAUGGUGUGUAAACUGCUUUUGUACGAGAAGAAACACUCCUUCGUGAAGGAGCUUGACGGUAUCGUAAGAAUAAGGACCGGCUAACUCCGUGCCAGCAGCCGCGGUAAUACGGAGGGUCCAAGCGUUAUCCGGAAUCAUUGGGUUUAAAGGGUCCGUAGGCGGUUUUGUAAGUCAGUGGUGAAAGCCCAUCGCUCAACGGUGGAACGGCCAUUGAUACUGCAAGACUUGAAUUAUUAGGAAGUAACUAGAAUAUGUAGUGUAGCGGUGAAAUGCUUAGAUAUUACAUGGAAUACCAAUUGCGAAGGCAGGUUACUACUAAUGGAUUGACGCUGAUGGACGAAAGCGUGGGGAGCGAACAGGAUUAGAUACCCUAGUAGUCC